AUCACUUGGGAACUUGAUAAAAUGCAGACUCUGACUCAGUGAGUCUGGUGGAGGGGGACCCCAAGAUUCUGCAUUUCCAACAAGAUCCCAAGUGAUGCCCA
rnacentral:pre_miRNA from 1 species